GAUGAACGCUAGCUACAGGCUUAACACAUGCAAGUCGAGGGGAAACGGCAUCGAAAGCUUGCUUUUGAUGGGCGUCGACCGGCGCACGGGUGAGUAACGCGUCUCCAACCUGCCCAUCACUUGGGAAUAACCUUGCGAAAGUAAGACUAAUGCCCAAUGACAUCCCACGAAAGCAUCCGAAUGGGAUUAAAGAUUUAUCGGUGAUGGAGGGGGAUGCGUCUGGUUAGCUUGUUGGUGGGGUGACGGCCCACCAAGGCAACGAUCAGUAGGGGUUCUGAGAGGAAGGCCCCCCACAUUGGAACUGAGACACGGUCCAAACUCCUACGGGAGGCAGCAGUGAGGAAGAUUGGUCAAGGGGCGAGAGCCUGAACCAGCCAAGUAGCGUGCAGGAUGACGGCCCUAUGGGUUGUAAACUGCUUUUAUAAGGGAAUAAAGUGGGUCACGUGUGACUUUUUGCAUGUACCUUAUGAAUAAGGACCGGCUAAUUCCGUG
rnacentral:rRNA from 1 species